AAGUCGUAACAAGGUUUCCGUAGGUGAACCUGCGGAAGGAUCAUUGGCACGUAUCCAAACGUUAACCCCCCUGUGAACCUUUAGUGUGCUCGUACGCUUUGUCAGAGCGUGGCAAUCCCUAGUAAAUCAUCGCCGAACAGUUUUCGAUUUAGGGACUUCCACAAAGAGUGUGCUCGUAGCGCGAGGCAAGUGGCCUGGCAUUCCCAAGCAGUUGGUGUCUGAAAGUGUCACUGGCUGUGUAAGGAUGGCGCAGUCACGAUCGUUGGAGGCCGACACGGCCGACGACCGGGUCACCGGGCUCACGCCCCUUAAUCACAACUUAAUGCAUGUCAGACGCGCCUGCGCUUAAUUGUGCGGCGACCAUAAAACUCGAACAACUGUUAACAAUGGAUAUCUUGGUUCUC
rnacentral:misc_RNA from 1 species